rnacentral:rRNA from 1 species
AUUGAACGCUGGCGGCAGGCCUAACACAUGCAAGUCGAGCGAGUGGCGGACGGGUGAGUAAUGUAUGGGGAACUGCCCGAUGGAGGGGGAUAACUACUGGAAACGGUGGCUAAUACAGCAUACUAUCGGAUGACCCCAGAUGGGAUUAGCUAGUAGGUGGGGUAAAGGCUCACCUAGGCGACGAUCCCUAGCUGGUCUGAGAGGAUGACCAGCCACACUGGGACUGAGACACGGCCCAGACUCCUACGGGAGGCAGCAGUGGGGAAUCUUGGACAAUGGGCGAAAGCCUGACCCAGCCACGCCGCGUGAGUGAAGAAGGUCUUCGGGUCGUAAAGCACUUUUGUCAGAGAAGCGGUAUCUAACCAAGAAGCAACGGCUAACUCCGUGCCAGCAGCCGCGGUAAUAC